GUCGGUAUGGCCCAAUGGAUAAGGCGCGUGACUACGGAUCACAGCGGCGGCUAUACGGUCGCCGCGAUCUCGUCGGAGAUUCUGGGUUCGAAUCCCAGUAUCGAUU
rfam:Aureococcus anophagefferens unplaced genomic scaffold ATRANscaffold_117, whole genome shotgun sequence.